UACGGAAGGGGGCUAGCGUUGCUUCGGAAUUACUGGGCGUAAAGCGCACGUAGGCGGCUGUUUAAGUCGGGGGUGAAAUCCUGGAGCUCAACUCCAGAACUGCCUUCGAUACUGUAGAGCUGAGUUCGGGAGAGGUGAGUGGAACUGCGAGUGUAGAGGUGAAAUUCGUAGAUAUUCGCAAGAACACCAGUGGCGAAGGCGGCUCACUGGCCCGAUACUGACGCUGAGGUGCGAAAGCGUGGGGAGCAAACAGG
rnacentral:rRNA from 1 species